rnacentral:lncRNA from 11 species
GCUGCAGAAAGACAUUUUAAAUAGACAUCUAAGGACCAUUUGAAUCUCUCUCAAAGGACAUUGUGAAUAGGAACGGACACAGGGGCAAUUCAAAGAGGUUAUUCAAGAGGUGCAUAAGAGGAUAUUCAUUACUAAUCCUCCAACCAGGAUCAACAGGAAGCAACAAAAUGGAUUAAACCUGCAAAAAGGAAGUAUAACUUUAAUUUAGAAACACCGGCAUCUGUCUUAGACUGUGUCAGACUAUUGAUUCCUGUAGCUCACUGUUGUCGACACCGUAUUGACUCUCAGCAGUUCUCAGGGCUUGAGACAGGCAGCAUUUCCUAGCUCUACCUGGAAAUGCAAGAGAAUGAACCUGGGAUCUUCUGCAUGCAAAGCAUGUGCUCAGCCAUGAGUUAUGACUUCCUCCUGCACAUUUCAUUGCCAGUAGUGGGAUUCGAGUGGAAUUUAAAAGCAUACAAGCCCCGAAAAACUUUCACAGUGGUUUGUCAGGCAACACUAGACAGGAAAAUAAACGAGCUGAUGCUGAGGUAGAUCCCAACUCAUCGCCACAUUGCACACAAAGAGGGAAAUACCUUUACCUAUACCUCAACAGCUUCUGCAUUCACAGAUUCAACCACUCAUGGCUUGAAAACUUUUUGCCCUCCCCAAAGAAAAAUCUCCAAAUGGCAAACCUUGAUUUUGCUAUUUUAUAUAAAGGACACCAUUUUACACCCUUGUAUAUAAUGAGACUUGGACAUCUACAGAUUUUGGGAGGACCUAGAAUCAAACUCCAGCAGACACCAAGAGCCCACUGAAUAUGAAGAAGGCUGAAAAGCCCAGGAUCAACUCUUACAUGCUGUUGGCUGGACAACAUUUGAUUGUUUUUCCC